rnacentral:rRNA from 1 species
CCCUUAGAUGUUCUGGGCCGCACGCGUGCUACACUGAGUAAUUCAAUGGGUAAGGGAACGCUAGAGCAUUACCUAAUCUUGAAAUUUGCUCGUGAUGGGGAUCGACGGUUGCAAUUUUCCGUCGUGAACGAGGAAUACCUUGUAGGCGCAUGUCAUCAUCAUGCGCCGAAUACGUCCCUGCCCUUUGUACACACCGCCCGUCGCUCCUACCGAUUGAGUGAUCCGGUGAGGCUCUGGGACCUGGGCGGAAAGAGCGUUUCGCUUGUUCUGUUUGGGAAACUUGGUCGAACCUUAUCAUUUAGAGGAAGGAGAAGUCGUAACA